rnacentral:rRNA from 1 species
GUCGACCGACACAGUGUCAGACGGGUGAGUAACGCGUGGGAACGUGCCCUUCAGUACGGAAUAGCUUCUGGAAACGGAAGGUAAUACCGUAUACGCCCUCCGGGGGAAAGAUUUAUCGCUGAAGGAUCGGCCCGCGUUAGAUUAGCUUGUUGGUGAGGUAAUGGCUCACCAAGGCGACGAUCUAUAGCUGGUCUGAGAGGAUGAUCAGCCACACUGGGACUGAGACACGGCCCAGACUCCUACGGGAGGCAGCAGUGGGGAAUCUUGCACAAUGGGCGAAAGCCUGAUGCAGCCAUGCCGCGUGAAUGAUGAAGGCCCUAGGGUUGUAAAAUUCUUUCAUCAGGGACGAUAAUGACGGUACCUGAAGAAGAAGCCCCGGCUAACUUCGUGCCAGCAGCCGCGGUAAUACGAAGGGGGCUACCGUUGUUCGGAAUUACUGGGCGUAAAGCGCGCGUAGGCGGACUAUUAAGCCAGAUGUGAAAUCCCGGGGAUCAACCUCGGAACUGCAUUUGGGACUG